UACGUAGGGGGCAAGCGUUGUCCGGAAUUAUUGGGCGUAAAGAGCGUGUAGGCGGUCCGGUAAGUCAGCUGUGAAAGUCAAGGGCUCAACCCUUGAAAGCCGGUUGAUACUGUCGGGCUAGAGUGCGGAAGAGGCGAGUGGAAUUCCUGGUGUAGCGGUGAAAUGCGCAGAUAUCAGGAGGAACACCAAUUGCGAAGGCAGCUCGCUGGGACGUAACUGACGCUGAGACGCGAAAGCGUGGGGAGCAAACAGG
rnacentral:rRNA from 1 species